UGAAAAUCCUUGUUCCUGCUCAACUGUUUCUAGAUCUGAACUCACUCCUCUGCAGGCUGAGGGGCUGAGCCCGGUGUGCGGACGGCACUGCAGUGAAAAACAAGGCAGGGGACGUGGCACCCAGUGAAACCACAAAGAAUUGGGCUAAGUGGUGGAACCACCUCAGAGGCGAGACAGCUGCAAAGGUGGCAGCAGAGACAGCAGCAGUGGAGGUGUUCCUUGACUCCUCCCUCUCCACCCCCCAGUUCAAGGUGGGGGGAGAUGAACCCACUUUAAAGCAUCCCUGAAUUCUGGGACUUGGCUGACUUCGGCCAGCCAACGGCAAGCGGGACGCAGUGGAGGGCAAGGGCAGUGGCAUGAUAAAGGGACUUUUAUCUGUUGGAGUUUCAUGCUGCAAGGUGGGAAACUGAGGCACUGCCCAGCAUCCUGUGGGCCAGAUGGAGACAGGAUGCCUGAGAGAUCAAAUCCUCCACAAACUGUUGCUUGCUGCCCACCUACAGCGAUCGCUGCAGAAAGAUUGUGGAGCAAUAAGACAUCCUCUGAAUGUGAUAAGAAACCUAAAGACAAAACCGGUCACCCUCCAGAGGGCUGGAGACGGACGCCCUGCAAAUUUCCCAUUGCAAUGAAACGGCCAUAAUCCUGCACCGAGGCGCCUUUCGGACUCUGGAUGGGGAAAGCAGCAGCAGUAGCCGUGUGCCGCUUGUAGCCCUACCUCGUGCAGAUAUGGCGGUGCCAUGAGCUACUCCGUGAUCGGAUGCGAGGGCACAACUUUCACAACGCAACAGGCGGGCACGGUGGAGCAGCAGCCCAGAGUUUCUGCAUUUCAAACUGCGAUCCACUGAAAGCAUCGCACCUCGUAAUUGAUCAUCCAGGCCUCCAGUUUCAGGCUGAACCAGCUUCAGGGCAGCAGCUCCUAUUAGGAUGGAGACAAUGAGUUUCUGCAAACGCACCAGGACCUGGCCGGCUUCCAUCUGACUAGCG